rnacentral:rRNA from 1 species
AACGUAGGACACAAGCGUUAUCCGGAGUUACUGGGCGUAAAGGGCGUGUAGGCGGACCUAUAAGUCUAUUCUGAAAGCUCCUGGCUAAACUGGGAGAGGCGAAUGGAGACUGUAGAUCUAGAGUAGGGAAGAGGAAAGUGGAAUUCCGCGUGUAGUGGUGAAAUGCGUAGAGAUGCGGAGGAACACCAGUGGCGAAAGCGACUUUCUGGUCCUUAACUGACGCUGAGGCGCGAAAGCAUGGGGAGCGAACGGG